rnacentral:rRNA from 1 species
GACGAACGCUGGCGGCGUGCUUAACACAUGCAAGUCGAACGGAAAGGCCCUGCUUUUGUGGGGUGCUCGAGUGGCGAACGGGUGAGUAACACGUGAGUAACCUGCCCUUGACUUUGGGAUAACUUCAGGAAACUGGGGCUAAUACCGGAUAGGAGCUCCUGCUGCAUGGUGGGGGUUGGAAAGUUUCGGGGGUUGGGGAUGGACUCGCGGCUUAUCAGCUUGUUGGUGGGGUAGUGGCUUACCAAGGCUUUGACGGGUAGCCGGCCUGAGAGGGUGACCGGCGACAUAUGGGGAGAGAGACAGCCCAGACACCUAUGGGGGGCAGAAGUGGGGAGAAUAGUACAAUGGGGGGAGAAGUGAGGAAGAAAAGCGGCGUGCGGGGGAAGGGGGCUUGGGGGGUAAAAAGCGUUCGCGUGUGAGAAGAAGCGAGUGACAGUAAAAUGGGAAGAAAAACAGCCGAAAAACAUG